GUCGCACAUAAACAAACUGCGUUACAACUUAACAUUCGCAACAUCACAGACGCGACACAGGCUGCUCCUCGUACGGGGAGCUGUUAUUCCGCACGAUACCUUAGACGAGUAGGAAGCCAGCAAGAGGAAAAAGAAAACUUUUUUGCGGCCGUUUCUUGUUGCUUGCCAAUAUUAUUUUAUUAUUUUAUUUUUUUGAGAUUUCUCGAUACAAACAGGAUAUUUUUAUACUAAGUUGAUAUCACAUGUAAAGACGGAACCGCCACAGCAAACCAAGCCCGGUUCGGAAGAGCGCGCGACGCCGAGCUCCGAGCACCAGCGACUAGACACCUCUCGUCUGACGUCUCACGUGCUGCCUCAUCCCGGCCGGAACCACGCCACCCCUCCACCUCGGACCCACAUCACCAUUCAGCGCGACGCUCUCUCACCAGAUCUAUGGCAUUCUGACAAUGAACAAGCGCGCUCAGUUAUUGGAACAGCUGCAGUUUGUCCAGUUGAAAUGCACACCUCGAGGUUAGACACUUCUCACCUCCGCUUCACUCACACACCGCACCACCUCCG
ensembl:lncRNA